UGGAUAUAGUUCAGUGGCAGAGCUCUUGCCUAGUCAGCAUGAGGCCCUGGGUUCCAUUCCUAGUACUUCAA
rnacentral:tRNA from 1 species